AGUGGAAUUGCUGUGUCAUAUGGUAAUUUUACAUUUACUUUUUAAGAAACUGCCAAAUUGUUUGCCAUAGUAGCUGCACCAUUUUACAUUCCCACCAGCAAU
rnacentral:pre_miRNA from 1 species